AGAUGGCGACCGGCGCACGGGUGAGUAACACGUAUCCAACCUGCCGAUAACUCGGGGAUAGCCUUUCGAAAGAAAGAUUAAUACCCGAUGGCAUAAUAGAACCGCAUGGUUUGAUUAUUAAAGAAUUUCGGUUAUCGAUGGGGAUGCGUUCCAUUAGGCAGUUGGUGGGGUAACGGCCCACCAAACCUUCGAUGGAUAGGGGUUCUGAGAGGAAGGUCCCCCGCAUUGGAACUGAGACACGGUCCAA
rnacentral:rRNA from 1 species